rnacentral:rRNA from 1 species
GUGCAUGUGGUGGAUGCCUUGGCAGUCAGAGGCGAUGAAAGACGUGAUAGCCUGCGAAAAGCUCCGGGGAGGCGGCAAAUAUCCUUUGAUCCGGAGAUGUCUGAAUGGGGGAACCCACCUACUUUAAGGUAGGUAUUGCAACAUGAAUACAUAGUGUUGCAAGGCGAACGAGGGGAAGUGAAACAUCUCAGUACCCUUAGGAAAAGAAAUCAAUUGAGAUUCCCUCAGUAGCGGCGAGCGAACGGGGAUCAGCCCAUUAAGUUAUGUGUGUUUUAGUGGAACGCUCUGGGAAGUGCGAACGUAGAGGGUGAUAUUCCCGUACACGAAAGGGCACACAUAAUGAUGACGAGUAGGGCGAGGCACGUGAAACCUUGUCUGAAUAUGGGGGGACCAUCCUCCAAGGCUAAAUACUCCUGACUGACCGAUAGUGAACCAGUACCGUGAGGGAAAGGCGAAAAGAACCCCUGUGAGGGGAGUGAAAUAGAUCCUGAAACCGCAUGCAUACAAGCAGUGGGAGCACCUUCGUGGUGUGACUGCGUACCUUUUGUAUAAUGGGUCAGCGACUUAUAUUCAGUAGCGAGGUUAACCGUAUAGGGGAGCCGUAGAGAAAUCGAGUCUUAAUAGGGCGUUUAGUUGCUGGGUAUAGACCCGAAACCAGGCGAUCUAUCCAUGAGCAGGUUGAAGGUUGGGUAACACUAACUGGAGGACCGAACCCACUGUCGUUGAAAAGCCAGGGGAUGACUUGUGGAUAGGGGUGAAAGGCUAAUCAAGCCUGGUGAUAGCUGGUUCUCCCCGAAAGCUAUUUAGGUAGCGCCUCGGACGAAUACCAUAGGGGGUAGAGCACUGUUUCGGCUAGGGGGUCAUCCCGACUUACCAAACCGAUGCAAACUCCGAAUACCUAUGAGUACUAUCCGGGAGACAGACUGCGGGUGCUAACGUCCGUAGUCAAGAGGAAAACAAUCCAGACCGCCAGCUAAGGCCCCAAAAUCAUAGUUAAGUGGGAAACGAUGUGGGAAGGCAUAGACAGCUAGGAGGUUGGCUUAGAAGCAGCCACCCUUUAAAGAAAGCGUAAUAGCUCACUAGUCGAGUCGGCCUGCGCGGAAGAUGUAACGGGGCUAAAACUAUGUGCCGAAGCUGCGGAUGUAUACUUUGUAUACGUGGUAGGGGAGCGUUCUGUAAGCCGAUGAAGGUGUGUUGAGAAGCAUGCUGGAGGUAUCAGAAGUGCGAAUGCUGACGUGAGUAACGACAAAACGGGUGAAAAACCCGUUCGCCGAAAGACCAAGGGUUCCAGUCCAACGUUAAUCGGGGCUGGGUGAGUCGACCCCUAAGGCGAGGCCGAAAGGCGUAGUCGAUGGGAAAAUGGUUAAUAUUCCAUUACUUCUGUGUAAUGCGAUGAGAGGACGGAGAAGGCUAAAUCAGCCUGGCGUUGGUUGUCCAGGUGAAAGGAUGUAGGCAUGUAUCUUAGGCAAAUCCGGGGUACUCUAUGCUGAGAUCUGAUAGCAAGCUGUACUUGUACAGCGAAGUGGUUGAUGCCAUGCUUCCAGGAAAAGUCUCUAAGCUUCAGUUACACAGGAAUCGUACCCGAAACCGACACAGGUGGUCAGGUCGAGUAGACCAAGGCGCUUGAGAGAACUCUGCUGAAGGAACUAGGCAAAAUGGUACCGUAACUUCGGGAGAAGGUACGCUGUUGUUGGUGAUGGAACUCGCUUCCUGAGCUGACGACAGCCGCAGAAACCAGGCCGCUGCAACUGUUUAUUAAAAACAUAGCACUCUGCAAACACGAAAGUGGACGUAUAGGGUGUGAUGCCUGCCCGGUGCUGGAAGGUUAAUUGAUGGGGUUAGCGUAAGCGAAGCUCUUGAUCGAAGCCCCAGUAAACGGCGGCCGUAACUAUAACGGUCCUAAGGUAGCGAAAUUCCUUGUCGGGUAAGUUCCGACCUGCACGAAUGGCAUAAUGAUGGCGGCGCUGUCUCCAGCAGAGGCUCAGUGAAAUCGAAAUCGCUGUGAAGAUGCAGUGUACCCGCGGCUAGACGGAAAGACCCCGUGAACCUUUACUGCAGCUUGACACUGAACUUUGACCUUACUUGUGUAGGAUAGGUGGGAGGCUUUGAAGCUGGAACGCUAGUUCCAGUGGAGCCGUCCUUGAAAUACCACCCUGGUAAUGUUGAGGUUCUAACUCUGUCCCGUGAUCCGGGACGAGGACCGUGUCUGGUGGGUAGUUUGACUGGGGCGGUCUCCUCCUAAAGAGUAACGGAGGAGUACGAAGGUGCGCUCAGCGUGGUCGGAAAUCACGCGUAGAGUAUAAAGGCAAAAGCGCGCUUAACUGCGAGACCCACAAGUCGAGCAGGUACGAAAGUAGGUCUUAGUGAUCCGGUGGUUCUGUAUGGAAGGGCCAUCGCUCAACGGAUAAAAGGUACUCUGGGGAUAACAGGCUGAUACCGCCCAAGAGUUCAUAUCGACGGCGGUGUUUGGCACCUCGAUGUCGGCUCAUCUCAUCCUGGGGCUGAAGCAGGUCCCAAGGGUAUGGCUGUUCGCCAUUUAAAGAGGUACGCGAGCUGGGUUUAGAACGUCGUGAGACAGUUCGGUCCCUAUCUACCGUGGGCGCUGGAAAUUUGAGAGGAUCUGCUCCUAGUACGAGAGGACCAGAGUGGACGAACCUCUGGUGUACCGGUUGUGACGCCAGUCGCAUCGCCGGGUAGCUAUGUUCGGAAGGGAUAACCGCUGAAAGCAUCUAAGCGGGAAGCCUACCUCAAGAUAAGAUUUCCCUAGGACUUUAUGUCCUCUAAAGAGCCGUUCGAGACUAGGACGUUGAUAGGUUGGAUGUGGAAGCAUAGUGAUAUGUGAAGCUGACCAAUACUAAUUGCUCGUGAGGCUUGACUAU